rnacentral:rRNA from 1 species
AGGGCACCACCAGGAGUGGAGCCUGCGGCUUAAUUUGACUCAACAGGGGAAAACUCACCCGGCCCGGACACCGUAAGGAUUGACAGACUGAGAGCUCUUUCUUAAUUCGGUGGGUGGUGGUGCAUGGCCGUUCUUAGUUGGUGGAGCGGUUUGUCUGGUUAAUUCCGAUAACGAACGAGACUCUGGCCUAUUAAAUAGUCGGUAUAUCCAGAAAAGUUUACCGUACUUCUUAGAGGGACAAACGGCGUCUAGCCGCGUGAAAUAGAGCAAUAACAGGUCUGUGAUGCCCUUAGAUGUCCGGGGCUGCACGCGCGCUACACUGAAAGAAUCAGUAUGCGCUUUAACCUAGUCCGGAAGGAUUGGGUAACCCGAGCAAAUUCUUUCGUGCUUGGGAUAGGGAAUUGCAAUUAUUUCCCUUAAACGAGGAAUUCCCAGUAAAUGCGGGUCAUAAGCUCGCGUUGAUUACGUCCCUGCCCUUUGUACACACCGCCCGUCGCUACUACCGAUUGGAUGACUUAG